rnacentral:rRNA from 1 species
ACUCAAAUGAAUUGACGGGGACCCGCACAAGCAGCGGAGCAUGUGGUUUAAUUCGAAGCAACGCGAAGAACCUUACCAGGGCUUGACAUCCCUCUGACCGGCCGGUAACGCGGCCUUCUCUUCGGAGCAGAGGUGACAGGUGGUGCAUGGUUGUCGUCAGCUCGUGUCGUGAGAUGUUGGGUUAAGUCCCGCAACGAGCGCAACCCUUGUCAUUAGUUGCCAUCAGGUGAUGCUGGGCACUCUAGUGAGACCGCCGGGGAUAACUCGGAGGAAGGUGGGGAUGACGUCAAAUCAUCAUGCCCCUUAUGUUCUGGGCUACACACGUGCUACAAUGGCCGGUACAGAGAGAAGCAAACUCGCGAGGGGGAGCAAAACUCUAAAACCGGUCCCAGUUCGGAUUGCAGGCUGAAACCCGCCUGCAUGAAGUCGGAGUUGCUAGUAAUCGCGAAUCAGAAUGUCGCGGUGAAUGCGUUCCCGGGUCUUGUACACACCGCCCGU